UGAUCCUGCCGGAGGUUACUGCUAUCGAGGUUCGACUAAGCCAUGCGAGUCGAAUGUAGCAAUACAUGGCGUACUGCUCAGUAACACGUGGAUAACCUACCCUUGAGAUGGGGAUAAACCCGGGAAACUGGGUAUAAUACCCGAUAGAUCUCGACUGCUGGAAUGCAUCGAGCUCCAAAGCUCCGGCGCUCAAGGAUGGGUCUGCGGCCUAUCAGGUAGUAGUGGGUGUAGUGUACCUACUAGCCUACGACGGGUACGGGUUGUGAGAGCAAGAGCCCGGAGAUGGAUUCUGAGACACGAAUCCAGGCCCUACGGGGUGCAGCAGGCGCGAAAACUUUACAAUGCUGGAAACAGCGAUAAGGGGACCUCGAGUGCCAGGUUACAAAUCUGGCUGUCGUGAUGCCUAAAAAGCAUUGCAUAGCAAGGGCCGGGCAAGACCGGUGCCAGCCGCCGCGGUAACACCGGCGGCUCGAGUGGUAACCGUUAUUAUUGGGUCUAAAGGGUCUGUAGCCGGCCGGAUAAGUCUCUUGGGAAAUCUGGCAGCUUAACUGUCAGGCUUUCAGGAGAUACUGUCUGGCUCGAGGCCGGGAGAGGUGAGAGGUACUUCAGGGGUAGGGGUGAAAUCUCGUAAUCCUUGAAGGACCGCCAGUGGCGAAGGCGUCUCACCAGAACGGACCUGACGGCAAGGGACGAAAGCUAGGGGCACGAACCGGAUUAGAUACCCGGGUAGUCCUAGCCGUAAACGAUACUCGCUAGGUGUCGGCAACGGUGCGACCGUUGUCGGUGCCGUAGGGAAGCCGUGAAGCGAGCCACCUGGGAAGUACGGCCGCAAGGCUGAAACUUAAAGGAAUUGGCGGGGGAGCACCACAACGGGUGGAGCUUGCGGUUUAAUUGGAUUCAACGCCGG
rnacentral:rRNA from 1 species